rnacentral:lncRNA from 1 species
AGAAGGGAGAGAAGGAAGGAAAAGAGAAAGGGAGGAAGAGAAGGAAAGAGGAAGGAGGAGAGAGGAAAUCAAAGAAAGAAGAAAUCAAAGGAAGAGAGAGAAAAAGUAUGAAUAACAUUACUGGGUUAUUUUCUUAUCUUUUCUGUGUGCGUUGACAACCCAGGCAUCCGUGCCACCUGGAGGCAGCCUACUAGCAGCAAUUUUUCUGAAAUUGGGUUCAGAUUUAUCCCCUGGAAAUAUGUGCUUGAAGAAUUCAUGAAGAUCACGGUCUUCCUGCUCUUGAGGACUUUUAGAAUCUACUUUGGGCCAGAAGUCUCUUUAGUCCCAGUUUCAUCUCAGGUAUGUCUCCUUACAUAGACACAUUUUUAUUUUUAGGUUUUCUUUUUUUUUUUUUUUUUUUUGUCUUUUGGCACUGCACCCAUGGCACAUGAAGUUUCCUGGGUGAGGGGUUGAAUCAGAGCUAUAGCUACUG